rnacentral:rRNA from 1 species
UACAGAGGGUGCAAGCGUUAAUCGGAAUUACUGGGCGUAAAGCGUGCGUAGACGGUUAUUUAAGUCAGGUGUGAAAGCCCCGGGCUCAACCUGGGAAUUGCAUUUGAGACUGAAUAGCUAGGGUGCGGAAGAGGGAAGCGGAAUUUCCGGUGUAGCGGUGAAAUGCGCAGAUAUCAGGAAGAACACCCGUGGCUAAGGCGGUUCUCUAGUACGGUACUGACGCUGAGACGCGAAAGCGUGGGGAGCGAACAGG